GACGGACGCUGGCGGCGUGCCUAAUACAUGCAAGUAGAACGCACAGUUUAUACCGUAGCUUGCUACACCAUAGACUGUGAGUUGCGAACGGGUGAGUAACGCGUAGGUAACCUGCCUGGUAGCGGGGGAUAACUAUUGGAAACGAUAGCUAAUACCGCAUAAUAUUAAUUAUUGCAUGAUAAUUAAUUGAAAGGUGCAAUUGCACCACUACCAGAUGGACCUGCGUUGUAUUAGCUAGUAGGUGAGGUAACGGCGCACCUAGGCGACGAUACAUAGCCGACCUGAGAGGGUGAUCGGCCACACUGGGACUGAGACACGGCCCAGACUCCUACGGGAGGCAGCAGUAGGGAAUCUUCGGCAAUGGACGAAAGUCUGACCGAGCAACGCCGCGUGAGUGAAGAAGGUUUUCGGAUCGUAAAGCUCUGUUGUAAGAGAAGAACGGGUGUGAGAGUGGAAAGUUCACACUGUGACGGUAUCUUACCAGAAAGGGACGGCUAACUACGUG
rnacentral:rRNA from 1 species